ensembl:snRNA U1 U1 spliceosomal RNA
AGACUUACCUGGCAGGGGAGAUACCGUGAUCACAAAGGUGGUUUUCCCAAGUGAGCCUUAUGCAUUGCACUCUGGGUGUGCUGACCCCUACGUUUUCCCCAAAUGUGGGAAACUGGACUGCAUAAUUUGUGGUAAUGGGGGACUGCAUUCCCGCUUCCCCCUA